AUGGCUCAUCCAUUUCAAUUAGGUCUUCAAGAUGCUAUAUCUCCUAUUAUAGAAGAAUUACUUAAUUUUCAUGACCACACUCUUAUAAUUGUUUUCCUAAUCAGUUCUCCGGUUUUCUAUAUUAUUUCCCUCAUAGUGACAACAGAAUUAACACACACUAGUACUACAGAUGCCCAUGAAGUAGAAGCUAUAUGGAAUAUCUUACCUGCCUGCUAUUAUCCUAAUUUUAAUUGUCCUCCCAUCUCAACAUAUCCUAUAUAUGACAGAUGAAAUUAAUAAACCCUUUCUCACUGUCAAAACAAUUGGCCAUCAGUGAUAUUGAAUUUAUGAAUAUACAGAUUAUGAGGACUUAGGCUUCGAUUCUUACAUAAUCCCUACAACAGACUUAAAACCAGGAGAACUACGACUCCUCAAAGUUGACAAUCGAGUAAUUCUCCCAAUAGAAAUUCCUAUUGUGUAUUAAUUUCAUCAGAAGAUGUUUUACACUCAUGAGCUGUCCCAUCACUGGGCCUCAAAACAGAUGCCAUCCCCAGGCGCUUAAACCGAAUGACCUUGAUCACCACAUGGCCAGGCCUUUACUAUGACCAAUGCUCAGAAAUCUGUGGACCCAACCACAGCUUUAUACCCAUUGUUCCAGAAAUGGUCCCCCUAAAAUGCUUUGAAACCUGAUCUAUAUCCAUACUC
rnacentral:lncRNA from 1 species